rnacentral:rRNA from 1 species
GAUGAACGCUGGCGGCGUGCCUAAUACAUGCCAGUCGAGCGAACGGACGAGAAGCUUGCUUCUCUGAUGUUAGCGGCGGACGGGUGAGUAACACGUGGAUAACCUACCUAUAAGACUGGGAUAACUUCGGGAAACCGGAGCUAAUACCGGAUGAUAUUUUGAACCGCAUGGUUCAAAAGUGAAAGACGGUCUUGCUGUCACUUAUAGAUGGAUCCGCGCUGCAUUAGCUAGUUGGUAAGGUAACGGCUUACCAAGGCAACGAUGCAUAGCCGACCUGAGAGGGUGAUCGGCCACACUGGAACUGAGACACGGUCCAGACUCCUACGGGAGGCAGCAGUAGGGAAUCUUCCGCAAUGGGCGAAAGCCUGACGGAGCAACGCCGCGUGAGUGAUGAAGGUCUUCGGAUCGUAAAACUCUGUUAUUAGGGAAGAACAUAUGUGUAAGUAACUGUGCACAUCUUGACGGUACCUAAUCAGAAAGCCACGACUAACUACGUG